GGUGAGUAACACGUGGAUAACCUGCCUCGAAGUGGGGAAUAACCCCGGGAAACCGGAGCUAAUACCGCAUAUUCUGAUGAAGUCUGCGGAUUUUGUCAGGAAAGGAGCAAUUCGCUUUGAGAGGGGUCCGCGGCUGAUUAGCUAGUUGGUGAGGUAAUGGCUCACCAAGGCCACGAUCAGUAGCCGGUCUGAGAGGACGGUCGGCCACACUGGAACUGAGACACGGUCCAGACUCCUACGGGAGGCAGCAGUGGGGAAUUUUUCGCAAUGGGGGCAACCCUGACGAAGCAACGCCGCGUGGGUGAUGAAGUAUUUCGGUACGUAAAACCCUUUCGACGGGGACGAAACCGCAAGGUUGACGGUACCCGUAGAAGAAGCCCCGGCUAACUCCGUGCCAGCAGCCGCGGUAAUACGGGGGGGGCAAGCGUUGUUCGGAAUUACUGGGCGUAAAGGGCGCGUAGGCGGUUCGCUAAGUUGAAUGUGAAAACUCUGGGCUUAACCCAGAGCCUGCAUCCAAAACUGGCGAACUGGAGUACUGGAGGGGAAAGCGGAAUUCCUGGUGUAGCGGUGAAAUGCGUAGAUAUCAGGAGGAACACCGGUGGCGAAGGCGGCUUUCUGGACAGUAACUGACGCUGAGGCGCGAAAGCCGGGGGAGCAAACAGGAUUAGAUACCCUGGUAGUCCCGGCCCUAAACUAUGGAUACUUGGUGUGAGGGGGAUUGAAUCCCUUCGUGCCGU
rnacentral:rRNA from 1 species